CCGCCGGGACAGCCUAGGCGGGAGGCCUCCGUGGCACUAGAAGCCUCGGAGAGCCCCCUACAGGCGGGAGGACCCGAAAGGAAAGUACUUCUGCUCAGAUGGGCGGAGCUAGGGAGGCGGGGGCGGAAGUGACGGUGAUCCGCUGGCAAAGGCGGGUUCUUCGGCUUGCGCUAAGAGGGUGAGGUGUAGUGGGCUCUUCGUGUUUCUGGAGAAGUUAUUUUAAUAAAGGCUCGAGAACUCUGUUCUGUCACCAUGGACACGGGAUGUCGUUUAGACACUUAUUGUUUUGGGGGUCUCCUUUUCCUGCUCGAAAUAUGAGGUUUCUCUUGGAGUUUUAGCUUUGUGCCAUAGCUACAGCCUCUGACUAGGGCCCACACUGGAGCAAAGAGGUACAUGGAGAGUUUCUUGCCUUUUGGGAAGUCUGAGGUCUUCUGCCAGCGUUCUGUA